UGUUCCGGUGCCGUCGGACGUCUUCCCCAAGGACCACGGGAGAGAAAGAAACCCCGCCAAGCCCCACCCCUCCCGCCCACGGCGCACGCUCACUCGCGCGGGUGAACAUCACCAACUGGAGUGGAUAUGCCACAGGUUGUCUGCCCUACGCUCGGCGCAACACGGCACACAGCCCCAGACACGCAAACGGCCCCCGCCGGGAGUGACGUCCCAUCGCGAGGGCCUGACCACCAAGGAAGAAAGCCCUUCCCG
rnacentral:ncRNA from 1 species